rnacentral:lncRNA from 1 species
AAAUUUAAAGUUUAAAUUUUAAAGUUGAUAUUUUUAGUUUUUAAAUUUUAAAUAUGAUAUUUUAUAUCUUUGAAAUUUAAAUUUGGUAUUAAAUUUAAAAUUUGAUAUUUAAAAUUAAAAUUUUAAAUUUUAAUUUCAAAAUUUAAAAUUUAAAAGUUAAAUUUUCAAUUUAAAAUUAUAAGUUUAAAAUUUAAAAAUUUAAAUUCAAUUAUAGGUGUAAUAUCAUUAUUUUCUAUUUACAACUAACAACUAUUCCUUUUAUUCCCAAUAACCAUCCAAACAUAAUUUUUCUAAUUCCAGCUUAUACUUAUAUUUUCAUCCAAACAAAAAAAUAUCCUUAUUUUUAUAAAAAUUUAUACUUGUACCUAUUCUCGGUAUAACUAGUUCCUACUAAUUUUCGAACCAAACGAAGCCUACAUCCUAACUCCUAAU